rnacentral:rRNA from 1 species
GUGAGGAAUUUUCCGCAAUGGGCGAAAGCCUGACGGAGCAAUGCCGCGUGAAGGAUGAAGGCCUAUGGGUUGUAAACUUCUUUUCUCAGAAAAGAAUUAUGACGGUAUCUGAGGAAUAAGCAUCGGCUAACACUGUGCCAGCAGCCGCGGUAAGACAGAGGAUGCAAGCGUUAUCCGGAAUGAUUGGGCGUAAAGCGUCUGUAGGUUGUUUAAAAAGUAUUCUGUCAAAGAUUAGGGCUUAACCCUAGAUAGGCAGAAUAAACUUUUAAGCUAGAGUUUGGUAGAAGCAGAGGGAAUUCCCGGUGGAGCGGUGAAAUGCGUAGAUAUCGGGAGGAACACCAAAGGCGAAGGCACUCUGCUGGGCCAAUACUAACACUGAGAGACGAAAGCGAGGGGAGCAAAUGGGAUUAGAAACCCUUGUAGUCC